GAUGAACGCUGGCGGCGUGCCUAAUACAUGCAAGUCGAGCGAACAGAUGAGGAGCUUGCUCCUCUGACGUUAGCGGCGGACGGGUGAGUAACACGUGGAUAACCUACCUAUAAGACUGGGAUAACUACGGGAAACCGGAGCUAAUACCGGAUAAUAUAUUGGACCGCAUGGUUCAAUAGUGAAAGACGGUUUUGCUGUCACUUAUAGAUGGAUCCGCGCCGCAUUAGCUAGUUGGUAAGGUAACGGCUUACCAAGGCAACGAUGCGUAGCCGACCUGAGAGGGUGAUCGGCCACACUGGAACUGAGACACGGUCCAGACUCCUACGGGAGGCAGCAGUAGGGAAUCUUCCGCAAUGGGCGAAAGCCUGACGGAGCAACGCCGCGUGAGUGAUGAAGGUCUUCGGAUCGUAAAACUCUGUUAUUAGGGAAGAACAAAUGUGUAAGUAACUAUGCACGUCUUGACGGUACCUAAUCAGAAAGCCACGGCUAACUACGUG
rnacentral:rRNA from 1 species